UCUUGUCAUGACAGCUAGGAAUUGUGGAGUCUGCCAUCCCUCCAUCUGAGACAGGGUCUUCACGAGCACAGAGGCUGCUGUGGAGUCAAUAGAUCAUCAUUUCCCCAGACCAAAGUGCUUGGCUGGUGGUGUUCCUGAAGCAGCUUCACUGGCCAGAGUGAGUGACCAUUGGAGUAGAACAGAGCAGUCACCAGAUGUCUUGCUUCCUACAGAAAACUGAGUAUAUUCCUGGUCCCUGAAAAAUCCCUGGAGGAUCCCUGACCCCACCUGUCUCCGGGUGCCCAGAACAGCCCAUCAUAGGCUUUUCACCCUCAGUAAGUAGACGCCGUUUGUCCUGCUGGGGCCGGUGCGUGUCUGCCUUGGGGUGCUUGGGGACAAUGGGCCUCUCUGUUCAGGUCCCCGUGUGCUCAAGUCCGCAGGAAGGAGCCCACCACUGGUUGGAGGCAAGAACUCCAGAGAUUGAGUCAGGGGUGGGGCCACUCUUUCUGGCCCCUGUCAUCUGGAAGGGGUAGUGGAAUGCGUCUGGGAGUCUAGUGGGAAAGGUUGGGGUGUUCUCUGGAGCUCUCGGCUGCAGCAGAACCUUGGAUGACUUUGUCUUGCAGGAUGGAGGUGGAAGAGGCCCUGGAUAUGCUGCCCAGCCAGGGACAAGGAAACAUCACCUGCCAGGUACACCUAGCUGGCACAGCAGUGGGCGUGGGGCAUGGGCCUGCUGAUAAUGAAAAAGACACCAAGCACCUUGGGAUUAUGCAGUGAGUCCUUUGUCCACCUCACCCCACCCCUUUCCACCGACCCCAACCUCAGCGAUGGGUUUUGUUUUUAGAAAAGCCCCUCUGAAGCAGGUCAUGUCUCCCCGGCUCAGGCCAACUUCCUCUCCAGGGUCAGAACUCCUCCCAGGCUCUCCUGCAGGUCCAGCCCAUGGUCAGGUUGUUGGGACAGCCUCAUGGCACAUCUAGGGAGCUCAGGACAGUGGGUGGGGACAGAGAGGGGACUAGGACAGGUUCUUGGGCUCUCAGCACUGUGGUCUCCAAGCAAGCAGGAGAGGACAGGGCAGCCUGAGGGUCUGGGCCUGUUCCCUUGGGGCCUGCUCAGGUGAGAUCUGAGGGCUGUGGCCACGGGGCAAGGGGCACCUGACCUGCCCUGUGGGUAGUUGUACAGCAGAUCUCUGAGAGCUCAGGGG
rnacentral:lncRNA from 13 species